UUAAACUCGGCGGAGGAGGGACCCAGGGGUUGAGGGACGCCAGGCGGUUGCCCAGUCAACCAGUUCACACCCUUCGGGGACCCGGAAGUGACGCAGGGCCCGGAACCUACGCGGUGCCGGGAUCGGCGACGGUCCCCGAAGCUGACUGUUUCUCUGUCGUGAUUUGAGUGACUGGGGGGGAAAGUCGAAAAUUCACAGACAAACGUGUCCCGAAUCCCAACGCUGACUGCGCCGAGGGCGAGCUUACGUCCUGCACUGCCGCCCGAGCCUUCCCGCGACCAGCCAUUUCCCGGACGGGCGGGAGCGCGCGUGCCGUGCCCCGCCCACACCCUACGUCACCUCUGCAAGCCCCGCCCCCAGGCGGGGGGGGUAGGGAUCCUGCUCACCCCACACUCAGACACUCACAUACACACACCCCUCAGCUCCCCCGCGGGGAGCCCCUAGCCUUUCAACCAUUCGGCUGUAGCAGCCGGGAAAGGCUACGGCCCGGAACUUUCCCUGGGGUGGGAGACUGGGGAAGACUCGAUUCCCGAGCCCAGAGCCCCGGAGCGCCGGGGGAGGGACCUCCCCAGAGGCCGCCUUCGCAGUCCGCCCUCGCCCCCUCCCCCCUAGCACGUUCCAGUGCAUCUGCGCUCAGGGGGUGGGGGCCUGAGGCGGGCUGGGCUGAAGGAAGCCCGGCCCUGUGGGCCUGCGGGAGUCCGGCAGCGGCCGGCCGCUCACUCCCCACGGCAACCCCCCCUCCACCGCCCGGCUGCACGCUCCCCGAGCCGGGGCGCCGAGGGGUCUGCGGUACACGGCGGGCGAACACCCGGAACAAAUGAGCUUGCUGCUUAAAAAUGGCUGAUUUCGUCUUCAGAGCGGCUGCAGUCGCUGGGUCUGCAGCGGGGGCUGACGAGCGGCCACCUCUCCCUUCCACCCUCAAGACCCCCCCCCCAAGAAGUCCGCAGCGGGGGAAGGGGGAGGGCCGCGAACCCCACCUGCGGGGGCCCGCUGCCCCGGGUCCCACACACCAGACCCCACACA
rnacentral:lncRNA from 1 species